GUAAACAAUCUUAAAUUUAAAACAUGUGUUUGUCUCUUUAUAGGGCAGCUGAAACAGAUUGCCCCGGGGAGCGAUGUUUCUUUAAGCUGCUCAUCUGGAGAAGCUCCCAGUGGACAACUUCUAAUCAACAACACAGUGAGAGUGAAAUUUAAAGGAACAGAAUAUCUACUUAUAAAAAACUUUCAGAAACAGAAUGAAGGCCGAUAUUUCUGCCACAAACAAGAGGACUAUAGAAAUUUGGAACUGAAACCUGCUUCAACAAACGAUGAGACGGUUUUGUUUCGUGGAAGUGAGGGAGAUUCACUUUACCUCUUCUGUAAAAGUAUUCUAAACUCAUUACCAAUGGUCACCUGGUUAUGGAGACCCAACCACGAAGAUAAAAAUAUCAACCUUAGACAGAACCCUACACACUUUGGAAAACGACUAUACCUCAGGAAUUACAACAACGACUUUUCUGCAUCCAUCAGACCUGUAGACUGGAGCGACUCUGGGAAAUAUGAAUGUCAACUUUCCGGCCUUUCACCUGUCAGGACUGUCUUUGAAGUCGUGGUGGUGAGAGUUCAUGCCGACCCUCAGCACCUAAACGAGGGGGAUGAUGUCAAAUUAAAAUGUGACAUUUCUCAUCAGACAUCACAAGUACAACUGUACUGGAUCAACAUGAAGACACAAGAGAACUUUCCAAACCCACAUAAUCUUAAGAAUGUUGAGAUCAGCCAGAUGAGCUGGGCGUGUGCUGUGUUUAACACAUCUGUACUAAAAGCUCUUAUUCCACUAACUCUCAACAUCAGUCAGCCCCUCAGCACAACUGCAACAUUACCAUCUCCGACCACUCACGAUCACACCUCGGCUGAGUCAACAGUUCUGCUACAGUCUAGCAGAAACACCAACGACACUCGCUGGACUACAACAGGAAACACCCCACCUCCAAGAAACACAACAAGGACCGUCUUAAUCAGCAUCUGCACUUCAUUCUUCUUCACCCUUAUUUUAGUGCUCGGUGCUGUGUGCUGGAGGACAUGGAGAAGAAAGAAUUUAGAGGAAGAGUGUCCUCAAUGUGAGAGAGAGAGCGUUACAUACGCUGAGAUGAGCUUCAGACAGAGAUCAGAGAGAAGGAAAGAAGGAGAGAAGCUUUCUGUGAGUGAAAGCGUUACUUAUGCAGAAGUGAGCUUCAGGCAGAGAGCAGAUAAUGCUUCCUCUGAUCACGAGUCUGUUUCUAACAUUGCUCCCGAGGAAAAAGUAGAAGUCCUGUAUUCAACUGUUAACUUAAAAACUAAAAUUGAAAAUUAGAUUACAAAAAUGAAUGUAAAUUACAAAAUAUGUAAAA
rnacentral:lncRNA from 1 species